GGAGGGUGCAAACGUUGCUCGGAAUUACUGGGCGUAAAGCGCAUGCAGGCGGACUGCUAAGUUUCGUGUGAAAGCCCUGGGCUUAACCCAGGAAGUGCACGGAAAACUGGCAGACUAGAGUACUGGAAAAGUGGACGGAAUUCCCGGUGUAGAGGUGAAAUUCGUAGAUAUCGGGAGGAACACCAGUAGCGAAAGCGGUUCACUGGACAGAUACUGACGCUCAGAUGCGAAAGCGUGGGGAGCAAACAGGGAUUAGAUACCCUGGUAGUCCACGCCGUAAACGAUGGGCACUAGGUGUCGGGGGCUUGACCCCCUUCGGCGCCGUAGCUAACGCGUUAAGUGCCCCGCCUGGGGAGUACGGUCGCAAGACUA
rnacentral:rRNA from 1 species